rnacentral:rRNA from 1 species
AGAGUUUGAUCCUGGCUCAGGAUGAACGCUAGCUACAGGCUUAACACAUGCAAGUCGAGGGGCAGCAUGGUCUUAGCUUGCUAAGGCCGAUGGCGACCGGCGCACGGGUGAGUAACACGUAUCCAACCUGCCGUCUACUCUUGGACAGCCUUCUGAAAGGAAGAUUAAUACAAGAUGGCAUCAUGAGUCCACAUGUUCACAUGAUUAAAGGUAUUCCGGUAGACGAUGGGGAUGCGUUCCAUUAGAUAGUAGGCGGGGUAACGGCCCACCUAGUCUUCGAUGGAUAGGGGUUCUGAGAGGAAGGUCCCCCACAUUGGAACUGAGACACGGUCCAAACUCCUACGGGAGGCAGCAGUGAGGAAUAUUGGUCAAUGGGCGAGAGCCUGAACCAGCCAAGUAGCGUGAAGGAUGACUGCCCUAUGGGUUGUAAACUUCUUUUAUAAAGGAAUAAAGUCGGGUAUGCAUACCCGUUUGCAUGUACUUUAUGAAUAAGGAUCGGCUAACUCCGUGCCAGCAGCCGCGGUAAUACGGAGGAUCCGAGCGUUAUCCGGAUUUAUUGGGUUUAAAGGGAGCGUAGAUGGAUGUUUAAGUCAGUUGUGAAAGUUUGCGGCUCAACCGUAAAAUUGCAGUUGAUACUGGAUAUUUUGAGUGCAGUUGAGGCAGGCGGAAUUUGUGGUGUAGCGGUGAAAUGCUUAGAUAUCACGAAGAACUCCGAUUGCGAAGGCAGCCUGUUAAGUUGCAACUGACAUUGAGGCUCGAAAGUGUGGGUAUCAAACAGGAUUAGAUACCCUGGUAGUCCACACGGUAAACCCUCAAAAAGGGCUGUUUGCGAUAUACUGCAAGCGGCCAAGCGGAAAGCGUUAAUUAUUCCUCCUGGGGAGUACGCCGGCAACGGUGAAACUCAAAAAAAUAGACGGGGGCCCGCACAAGCGGAGGAACAUGAGGUUUAAUUCGAUGAUACGCGAGGAACCUUACCCGGGCUUAAAUUGCAGCUGAAUUACGGUGAAAGCAGUAAUCCGCAAGGCUUCUGUGAAGGUGCUGCACGGUGGUGGUCAGCUCGUGCCUUGAGGUGUGGGCUUAAGUGCCAUAACGAGCGCAACCCUUGUGGUCAGUUUCUAACAGGUUGUGUUGAGGACUCUGACAAGACUGCCAUCGUAAGAUGUGAGGAAGGUGGGGAUGACGUCAAAUCAGCACGCCCCUUACGUCCGGGGCUACACACGUGUUACAAUGGGGGGUACAGAGGGCCGCUACCACGCGAGUGGAUGCCAAUCCCAAAAACCUCUUUCAGUUUGGACUGGAGUUUGCAACCCGACUCCACGAAGCUGGAUUCGCUAGUAAUCGCGCAUCAGCCACGGCGCGGUGAAUACGUUCCCGGGCCUUGUACUCACCACCCGUCAAG